GGGGCCGAUUUGGAUUCGACGCCGGUUACAACGCUCUGAGGUGCAUGCCGUGAUGACAGCCAAUCACGUAAAUCCAAAGCUGUAAACCUAAUAGUUGCCAACGACGACAACUACGCUCUAGCCGCUUAAACCCCGGUU
rnacentral:tmRNA from 1 species